CAGUAGCCGCGGGAAUACGUAGGUGGCAAGCGUUGCCCGGAAUUAUUGGGCGUAAAGGGCUCGCAGGCGGUUUCUUAAGUCUGAUGUGAAAGCCCCCGGCUCAACCGGGGAGGGUCAUUGGAAACUGGGAAACUUGAGUGCGGAAGAGGAGAGUGGAAUUCCACGUGUAGCGGUGAAAUGCGUAGAGAUGUGGAGGAACACCAGUGGCGAAGGCGACUCUCUGGUCUGUAACUGACGCUGAGGAGCGAAAGCGUGGGGAGCGAACAGGAUUAGAUACCCCCGUAGUCCCUGUCUCUUAUAC
rnacentral:rRNA from 1 species